rnacentral:rRNA from 1 species
AGGUGAUGGACAACAGGUUGAUAUUCCUGUACUACCGAUAACCGUUUGAGAGAAGGGAUGACACAGUAGGAUAAGCUAAGCACACUGUUGGUUAUGUGUGCCCAAGCAUUGAGGCAGUCAAAGUAGGCAAAUCCGCUUUGAUAAUGCUGGGAUGUGAUGGGGAGCGAAAGUUAGUAGCGAAGUAGCUGAUUUCACACUGUCAAGAAAAGUCUCUAUCGAGGUUAAAGGUACCCGUACCGCAAACCGACACAGGGGGGUGAGGAGAGUAUCCUAAGGCCAGCGAGAGAACUGUUGUUAAGGAACUCGGCAAAAUGACCCCGUAACUUAGGGAUAAGGGGUGCCACCAUCAGGUGGCCGCAGAGAAUAGGCCCAAGCGACUGUUUACCAAAAACAUAGGUUUCUGCUAAGUCGCAAGACGAUGUAUAGGAGCUGACGCCUGCCCGGUGCUGGAAGGUUAAGGGGAUCUGUUAGAGCAAUCGAAGCAGUGAACUUAAGCCCCAGUAAACGGCGGCCGUAACUAUAACG